rnacentral:rRNA from 1 species
GAUGAACGCUGGCGGCGUGCCUAAUACAUGCAAGUCGAGCGAACAGACGAGGAGCUUGCUCCUCUGACGUUAGCGGCGGACGGGUGAGUAACACGUGGAUAACCUACCUAUAAGACUGGGAUAACUUCGGGAAACCGGAGCUAAUACCGGAUAAUAUAUUGAACCGCAUGGUUCAAUAGUUAAAGACGGUUUUGCUGUCACUUUUAGAUGGAUCCGCGCCGCAUUAGCUAGUUGGUAAGGUAACGGCUUACCAAGGCAACGAUGCGUAGCCGACCUGAGAGGGUGAUCGGCCACACUGGAACUGAGACACGGUCCAGACUCCUACGGGAGGCAGCAGUAGGGAAUCUUCCGCAAUGGGCGAAAGCUUGACGGAGCAACGCCGCGUGAGUGAUGAAGGUCUUCGGAUCGUAAAACUCUGUUAUUAGGGAAGAACAAAUGUGUAAGUAACUAUGCACGUCUUGACGGUACCUAAUCAGAAAGCCACGGCUAACUACGUG